AGCAACCGGAAGUACGUCUGGUGUUGUGAUUGCAUACCUUUGGGUGUUUAUGAUUGUGAACAUCGUAUUGGAAGUAUAUCUGUUAACGAAAAGAAGGGAAUCACGUAUGUUCGUAACACAGUAAAAAUAAAUGUGUCAUUCGAUAAAAAAAAGUCUUAUGUUGCCGUUAAUGUUGAUUAAGUGUGAUUUCUCUUUCCUUAUGCAGAUACAUCAAUUUAACAUAAUCAAUAUGCGGAAUAAUGAAUGUUUAUGAUGUAUGCAACAGGAGUUGGUUGAUACGACAAAAUUAAAUCCAGAAGAACGUAGAUUUUAAUAUUAAUAAGAGAUACGUAUACAAUAUCACCAGGAACAUAUGGAAAUACAUCUAUAUUGAUUGAUUGUUUUGUAAUGUGAUUUGAGUUUUGGUUACACAGCAUAUCUUGCUAGUGUAUAUACGCAAUUAACACUUCCUGUACUUGUAACUCAACUGAAAAGGACGUUCUGCAGACAUCGAAAUUGUCAAUCAAGGAGGGAGGGAGUCGCUGACACCGGAAGGGCUUCGACAGGUAUUUCUACGCUAUUAGCACACUUACAUAUUACGACAUCUUCGUUAAUGAUAUUCACUUUUGUUUCUGUAAUGACCAAGUAAGGAUAAUGGAGCGGUUAUUUAAACAUAUCGAUACGUUUCUAUUAUUAUCACCUUCAAGAAUUGUAAACAUAGACACAAUACGAAAGUUCUUCGAUAUUUCGUAGUUAAAUGGCAAUCGGGUUAAAGAUAUUUGCAAAACCUCAAUGAAAUACCAUCAUUCAAAAGUGUUUGAUCAAAAUGUCAUGUAAACCUGUUUUUUUCCAAUCGGAGUAAGAAUAACCAUAUAACUAUAGAAGGAUUAUAAUCGUUAUUACUUUUGUAAUGUCAGCUUUGUCAAAUGAAAAUAAAAGUUGCAAUGGGAACAAUUAAAGAUAUGUAAAAUGUUUUAAUAUUUUUGAGAUCCAGCCGAUGUUGCAAAGCCACGGUACAUUAAAUGCUAUCAUGAAUAUAUAAUCGUGACGAAAAUUAACAUAUUUCCUACCUGGAUAUUCUAAAAAUAUAUUCAUAUAUAAUUUGGUUAAGCAUAUGAUAGAAAGAACCCCUAUGUGAUCUUCUUUAAUUUUUGUCAAAUUGAUAUAUGGAACAUGACAGUUGCUACAUAUCACAUCAAGAUAAGCCUUUUUGAUUAGUUUAUUAUUCCUCUUUAUUAUUCCUCAUCCAUGUAAAUGAAUUAUCGUUGUACAUUAUUUUCCUUAUCACAUAUUCCUUCAUUGACGUAUGAAUUGCCAAAAUACUAUUUGCUACUACCAUAGCAUCGUCAGGACCACCACGAAAGGAGGCUUGACUAUGUGGUUCCAGAUAUCUGUUUCUCUUUACUGUGGACAACAGAAGAAACAUAAUAUUAUCAGCUGCCCCUAUUGUUACAGCAAAGAUCCCUGUCUUUUCUGAUUAUGUAUAAUUUGCUAUUAUUUCUGCUUCAAUCCCGAUAUUUUUUAUAUUUAUAGCUGGUGACACGAUCUCUUAAUGUAAAUGUUAUGGUAUUAAGUAGACAGAUAAAAGAUAACAUUUUGUUGAAUUUGUUUGCUGUGUAAUUUACAUAAAUUGGUAAGGUGUAAUUUGAUAGUCAGUUGAUUGAUUCGUUAUACUUUUCUGUUUAUCCAUACAGGAAACGAACAGUUGAUUGCUUUCAAGUUUGUGUUAGGACCCAACAUUGUUUUCGUGAAAAACAUAUAAAAAACAUCAAAUAAAAGUUCAAAUACUGAUAUGUUUUAUAUAACGUUCGUCGUUAUCAUAAUCGAGUUCCGUUGAUAAGAUGUAAGAAAAGUUGUUAUUGAAUAUCUCGAAAUGUAUUAUUUAUUGAUAUUUCUGCUCCUUCCAUUGCAUUUAUUAAAAAAUUGUUACGCGGAAUUCACGCAUUAGCUCGCUAUCUAAAAAACAUACCUUUAAAAAACAAACAAAACAAUGUCAUGGUUACUUUUUUCAGUUAAAAAAAGUCUUAAUAUUGCAAAUCAUAAUGUAGAUCAGUGCUAGAAUUAAAAAAUACUACUUAGACCAAUUCGGGCUCAUUAUAUGUAUAUCAAAUAGCUCCAUACUUAUCACCGUGUAAUUUGUUUAUGGGACUCAGUUGAAUUAACACAAGUGGUAAAUAAUUGGUUGUAGAUAAGCCUUACAGCCCGCCGAACUGAAAGCUUGAACUGCAUGUCAAAAUGUUGGUAAUGCUUCGAAAUUCCAAAAUUUACAACUUGAAUAAAUAUUCUUAAACUUCAGUAACGAGUCAACCUUGUUGACUGAUUUUUUGUAAGGUAAGAAAGGUCUGAAUUCAGGCUUAACUGUCAUAAAGGCAAUGUCCUGAUAAAUUACCGCCUUGGUGUAGUUUAUCGUUAAAUAUCUGUAUCAAGAGAAAUUGUGUAAACUACUAGGCGACUAAUAUAUCUAUAUCUGUUAGUAAAUUAUCACGAUUCUUUCAGGCUUAACCGUAAUUUAUUUUUAUUUUCAUUUUGUGAAGAGUUGUCUCCCAUGGGUUGCUGUAGCAUAUGCGUCAUUGGAAAAAAAAGAAUUUCACAAAAUUGAAAAAGACAUUUAAGAUAUUUAUUGCUAAUACAUGUAUUGUAGAGGAUUCUUAAACGAAAUAUAAAAAUAUUCGUGAAUUAUUUCUUCAAAAAUGUGUUCAUCGAUAAAAUUAUCCAGAUGUAAGGAGUAAUUUUGAACAUUAACCCUUACAAGGUAGUUUUAAGCGCAUCACGGUAUGUACUUUGUUAGGCUCUAGAAAUUGUAGAUAUACUCCUAUAGUAAGAUAUCAUAAAAAAAUAUUAUUGCUUAAAUGUUAAUCAGAACAAAUAUAUAUGUAUGAUGCAAAUAUAUAAAGAAGAAAUUGCGACUGUUCUGACAUUGAAAUUUGUCCAGGUUUGAUCAAGACACAAAAACAUGAAACAAUAACAUAAAAAAGUAUGAAAAGUUUCUGCUGAAUUUGUGUGCUGACGUGAAAGCAUAUUCCUUCGGCUGGCUUGGGAUAGAUGACUCAUCCAUCUCAAGACACUUCGGCUGUCUUAGAGGCAAAGGCUUAUCCAUCUCUAGACACUUCUGGUGGCUAGGGAUCAAGGUUACUUCAUAAACCCGACUCAAGUCACUUUGGUCGGCUAGGGAUCAAAGGCUCUUCAUAAAUCCGACUCAAGACACUUCGGCUGACUAGGGAUCAAAUAUUCAUCCAUCUCAAGACGCUUCGGCCGGCUAGGGAUCAAAGGCUUUUCAUAAAUCCGACUCAAGACGCUUCGGCUGGCUAGAGAUCAAAGAUUCGUCCAUCUCAAAAGUCUUCGGCUGGCUAGGGAUCAAAGGCUCUUCAUGAAUUCAACUCAAGACACUUCGCUUCAAUUGUAAAGAUCAUAAAUGCAUUGGAGAACGUACCCGCAAUUUAAACAUUAAUUCAUUAAUUACUUUGGUACA